rnacentral:lncRNA from 1 species
ACAAGGAAGCUUCUAUAUGUGCUCUGCAAAUAAAAUUUUGCCAUGUGUAAAUCUACUAACGCACUUUGGUAUGGUACUGAGGAAUACAACCACAAUAUAUAUACCUAUUAUUAUUAGUUGCACCUCAUAAAUAUAUCGCCAACCUUAAGCUCACACUUUAAUAGCGCUAUUGCUCUUGCAUGAUCUCUUUUAAUAUUUUUCUUUACCUUCUCAUUAUUCUAUUGCUAGGAAGCACUCAAUCUAGGUCCGUGUAUUUUUUUUAAUAUAAUCAGCAGCUCUCCAGCCAGGUUCGUUUAAAAAAAAAAUCUAGGUCCGUGUGACAAUGUAUGACACGACGCCACAUCGUCUCUAAGAAAUGAGCGGCAUAAGGAAUCCAUGAUCAAUAGAUAGGUUGGUGCCAACACUUGGCCAUCAAAUUUGGUUCUCGGACACAUGGCUUUCCGGUUUCAAGCACGACAUGUUGCAUAGCUUCACUGUUACGCCCUUGAAUUUAGGGAAAGAAAAUGAGAGAAAAUUUUUGUUGAACCAGGGAGGUCAUGGUCAAAUCUUAGGAACCAGUUGGUGACAGUCACCGCUAUUUCUUCCAGUUCUGCCAGAAAAGAAAUGAUCGCCAAACACUACUGCGUAAUCAUGGUGAAGCCAUUACCGUAUUUUAGAUCCAAGAAAACAGACAACUAUACAGGAAGGUGCCUUUGCAUUAGUUGGCCUCAGCUCGGUAGGGAGUUAGUGAAACUACCAGCCUACGCUGCAAGGUGAUGCACACGUUCACGGUUCAUAAUUGAAUUUGGCACCUGCUCACUGAGGCCAUGAAAAACGCUAUGAAUAAUUAAUUUUGCAAUGUGUGCAAUAAAUGCUGACUUGUAGUCAUAGUAUAGUAGAGCCAUGCUGAUUUAAUAUCACAAAUCGAUAAAAUUAACCUUGUGUUUCCUCCCGGUACAAUCUUCAACUCACUUCCUGCUCUGCAGUUCUUGCAAUCUCUUGUGUGCUCCUCCUCUACCUCAUCAGUUCUUUUACCUUUUUGGUGAGGAAGUUCUUUUACCUAUUGUUAACCGCCAAGCACUCAAGCAAUCUAUGCUGUGUCGCUUCGGAAUGAGUGGCAUUGGGAGAACAUAUUCAACAGGGGUGCAGACUCUGACGGUUCUUCACGAUGGCCGCUGCUCUUCUUGCAUACAGGAAAGCACAUGUGGGAGUACAGCGUCGCCUCUACCACUACAAGAUUUGCGGUAGUUACCGACAGAUGGCAGCAGGAUUUUCCUUGCUUGUUCAUUUGUGCACUGGUCAGUUUUCCCUGAUAGGUGAUAGUUGCUAUGGAAUUCAUUUCCACUCACAGCAAAUAGUCUAAUUGCACUUAAACACCAUCGCCCAUUAAGAGGAGGAAAAUACUAAAGAGUCAAUCCCCCUCGGCCACUCUAAAAUACCCCUUGGCAAUUGUUUUGAACCUUGUAGUGUAUAGAGCUUGAAUUUUGCGCAAAAACAUGAGAGAACGUGGUCCAAUUGGAGGGACGCCUUACUAUAAUCCUAUGACCGGCGUUUGGCACACCGGUUCUCCCAGUUCUACCAGCAGGCAGCCAAGGAAAAUCAUUGUAUCGUUAUAUAAGGAAGUUAUAUAAGGAAGCGUACGACAUCAAAUCAUCAUGAAUCGCAUGUGUCGUAACUAAAAUUCUUUUGCGUUUUCUCAUCUAUGGCAGUAACCGUACACGGUAACUUCAAUUUCUUGCAUUGCUAAGAAAAAGUACAGCCAUGAAGGCCUGUUAGAUUGGUCAGGCAAUGCACCAAGGAGAGAGGAAGCCACUACCAGAAAACAGAAGGUUCUUAUAUAUCGACGUGAUGUAUUCCUGUCAGCCUUCCAAAACCGACAGGAAAUAUUCCUAGAACCCCUAUCCCCUUUUCUGAUGGUUUCUGGCCGUCAGGGAUGUUGUGUUCCUUGGUAGUGGAACUUGAACCUUGUAUCCCUAUGCCCUUUCUAUCACUCGCGGAAAAAGAAUGGUCAUGAAGCAGCAUUUCUCGAAAUUAAUUGCAAGAUAUUCUAAUCUGACUCCCAAUAGUACGACUUACGUCCGUCAUGUGUCACUAAGGUUCACUAUGACAUCAGAAAAAGAACCCACUCUUGUUCAACAAAACUAUCAAUCUUCACCUCGUUUUCUCAUGCAUCCUCAAUUCCUAAUCUGCCCAGCAUCUUCAGCUCUUUGUUAUCACAAAGCAAUUAUCAAUGUUUAAAGUGAAUGUCAUACACACAUGUGCACAUCUUUUACGAAUAAGAAUCAUAUAUCGGAGGAAGAUAAUUAGACGCCCUAGUCAAUAAUGUUGCAGUAUACAUGAUUUUUCCUUUGAGAGUUGAGCUCCCAUAUUAACAGUGUACUACACGUUAUUUUCUGGUGUUUCAGAUGUAGACUUUUUAUAUUGCAACCUUUGGUUGAAGAUUGUUAAAAUUUUAGUGAUCUCAAAUACAGCGGCUCCCAAUAAUUAACUUUGCCAUGUGCUCUGCUCUGUAGUUUAAAAGAAAGGAGCCCUGCUUUGACUAGUGUACAUGUAGUUGUGCUUUAUUUAUUUCAGCUGUCUCACUUUGAUCGUAAGAACAUGCAUGGGUAAUAAAAGUAAAGCAGCAUGGUCGUUCACCUCUUUCCUAUAACUAGUUAACUACUAGUAGUUUCAUCGUGGGCUCACUUGAGACAUUCCACCUCUUGCAAUCGCGUGCCUUCUCCUUCACCUCCGACUUCUCUAUCGCAUAUUUUAUCCUAUGGAGGCUAAUCUGACAUGUGCAUCUGCAAGAUUAGUUUCGGAAUGAGCGGUAUCAGGAGAAUGCAUUCCACAGGUUGAAGAUGGCAGAUAGUUCCCCAGCUCAGCCUAUCAGCCAUAGAGUCAGGUGUGCCCAAACAGAAACUAAAAAUUGAGCACAAACAAGUGAGAAAUGGUAGAUCCAUCGAGCCUCAUAGCAAUGACAGGGAAUCAUAUGGUACUUAUGAGCUUUCAGGGUCCGCUUCCUGCUCCUUUGAUAGAUGGCGAUUGGGAUGUGCUGUGCUGAUCAUCUCUGCCUAUGCUUUGAGGUCACCUUCGUUUACAACAAGGUCAACCCCGCGUUCGUGCUCCACUCCCUGCCGGCGGGCAGCACGGGCCAGUCCCUCUACGGCAUCUACCUGGUGGGCAUCCCAGACGAGUUGGCUGACGACGACGACCACAACGACCUCAGCGUUCAGGAUUCAAUUCCUCAGUUGAUUUAAUUACUUGAUACGAGACGGCGUCAUUGACGACCAAGGUGCCCAAAUGAGCUGAGAUAGCUUAGUGGGUGAUUGGAUCUUUAGUCCGGACUAAAGUUCGUGUCACAUCGAAUAUUCGGAGGCUAAUUAGGAGGAUUAAACAUGAGCUAAUUAUAAAACUAAUUAUACAGAUGGAGGCUAAUUCCCUAGACGAAUCUAUUAAGCCUAAUUAAUCCAUUAUUAGCACGUGUUUACUGUAGCACCACAUUGUCAAAUCAUGGACUAAAUAGGCUUAAUAGAUUCGUCUCGCAAAUUAGCCUCCAUCUGUGCAUUUGGUUUUGUAAUUAGUCUAUGUUUAAUACUCUUAAUUAGUAUCUAAACAUUCGUGACAGAAAUUUUAGGAGCUCCUAAAGAACCAAAAGAACCUUAUCUCUUGCAAACUUGUCACCGUUGAAUUUGGUCUUGUACGUAUUUCUCGUACUCAUGUCCAUAUAUGUAAAAUUGUCAUAAAUGGUAUAUUCUCAUCUCACAAAAGAGUGAAAGGAAAAUGUAGUUUAGCAAUUAGUAAUUAAAAGGGAAAAGAGCUAAGAAUCUCAUAAGCAAAUAAUUGAUCUUGAAACAGUAAAUUUUCACUUUGCAAGAUGACUUUGUACUAUACUCUGAAUCAUGGUUCUUGAACAAAAUGCGCUGAUGCAGUUUGGCCAAAGCAGCUGGAGACGUUCCAGGUCUCCCCCAAGAUGCCACCGCUCCACACGUUACUGAUUCCUUUGCAUUAGUUGCUGGUAUUAUAUAGGAGGGCCUUUGCAUUAGUUUCUGGCAUCAGCCUGGCAGGGAGGGAGUGAAACUGCCACAGCCAACGCCGCAAGGUGAUGCACAUGUUCAAGGUCAUGUAAUUUAAUUCUGCACCUGCCCGCUGCGGCCAUGAAAUAAAACCGCUGUAAAUAAUUUUGCACUGUGAAAUCAAUGCUGACUUGUACGCGUAGUAGGGCCGCUAAUCUAUAUAAGGAACCAAUCAAAUUAACCUUGCGUUUCCUCAAGGUGCAAUCUUCAACUCACUUCCUGCACAGUUCUUGCAAUCUCCCGUGUGCUCCUCCUCUACCUCGUCAGUUCUUUUACCCUCUUUUUGUGAGGAAGUUCUUUUACCUAUUGUAAACUGCCAAGCACUCAAGCAAUCUAUGCUGUGUCAUAUGUGUGUUGCCAUUGUCGCUUCGGAAUGAGUGGCGUUGGGACUUGGGAGAACAUAUACAGCAGUUGUCUAGACUCUGACGGUUCUUCACCAUGGUCACUGCACGCCUGGAGUUCGAGAAAGCACAUGUAGGUGUCAAUUGUUGCCUCUACAAAGCUGAAAUCUUGUGCAAAAGCAUGGGAGAAGUGUUGGGCAGUAUCGACGACCUUGUGGUCCAAUCGGAGGAACUCCUUUGUGCAAUCCGAUGUCCGGCGAUUGGCACACUAGUGCUGCUAGCAGCCCAAGGAAAAUCGUUGGACUGUUGUAAGGAAGCAUAGGACAUCAAGUUCAUCAUGAAUGCAUGCAUGUGCAGUAACUGAAAAUCUUUUACGUUUUCUCAUCCUGUGGCAGUAACCUUAGACAGUAGCUUGCUUGCAUUGCUAAGAAAAAGUACAGCUAUCAUCACCACCAGAAAACUGGAUUCCUGUCACCGUGACGUGUAAGAACCGACUGGAACAAGAAGUCUUUCCUGUCUUGUUUCUAAAAAAAAGAAGUCUUUCCUGUCGGCCGGACAAAACUUACAGGAAAUACUCCUAUACCCUUUCUUCCUCGCAAAGAGAAGUAAGGUGACGACUGACGAAGCUCUCUCACUUUUUUCCUUGACAAUUUUUGGUCGACAGGAACGUUCCGUUCCCUGCUAGAGGAACUUGAACAUUGUACUCCUAUCCCAUUAAUUUCUAUCGUUCGCAAAAGUAUAGUCAUGAAGCAGCAUCUCUUGAAAUUAAGUGCAACAUGUUCUUAUCUGACUCCUACUAGUACGACCAACGUGUCAUGUGUCAGGAUCACUUUGACAUCAGAAAAAGAAAGCCACAUAUAUGCAUUCUUAUUCACAAAACAAUCAACCUUCACCUCAAUACCUCAUUUCCCAUGCAUCCUCAACUCCCAAUCUUCCAACAUCUUCACAUCUUUGCGAUCACUUGUGUGCUCCUCUAUCUUCUUUCUUCUUCUCACUACGAAGCACUUACCAAUAUUCAAGGUGAAUAUAUGUACAUGCACGUGCACUUCGUUUAUGAAUAAGAAGCAUCGGGGAAAGAUAUUAGAGGGACAGGCUUGGCGCGGUGGCAUAGGGCACGGAGCUUUGCCAUGGGGGGUCCUCCUACGAGAAAUUCAACAGAUUCAUGGAGCUCGUAAAGAAAUGAAGUCUAUGCAGAAUGGAUGAUGAAAGAGUAAUAACUUCUUUUUUUUUUGGGGGGGGGGUGUUGGGGGGGGGGGGGGGGGGUUGGGGGGGUUGGGGGUCAUAUAUGAAUAAAAAAUGAAGCCAUUGUCCAAACACACUCAGAGAACGGAGCAUCUUGAUGAGAUUUCGACUAUUAUAUAAAAAAAGGAGAUGGCCUUUUAAUUCACGUAUUAGCUUUUGAGAUGCUUGUUUAUUCUCAAAACUUUGUUUGAGAUCGUGUAGCCUUGUCUACAUAUGUAGUUAUUUGUGGACUGAUUCUCCCUUAUUGAGAUGCUGAAGCUGGUUUUUCUACACAUUAUCUAUAAAAUAUAAAAAAUAUGAUAUUCGAUAAUUUUUUAGGAAAUGUAAUCACAUUUUUUAUCAAUAGAGAAGUGACAUGUAGUCAAGCAUUCUCUUCAACUAAACAAAAAUUAAAUAAAAUCUUUUGAGUUGAAUUAUUCUUAACCAAUUGUCUACCCGGUAAAUAAGCUGCAAGAUGCUAUAUAUUGAUCUGACUCCUUGUCAAACUAAAUUAGGUUUAAACAAAUAAGCCGCAAAAACUACUGCCAACCUUCAGCUCACAUCUAACACACUCUACCUUUUGCCAUCGCGCUUUGUGGCUCUCCUUCGCCUCCUUGCUAAUCCAAUCUUUUGCCUAUUUUCAUAUUGCCAUGCAAGCACUCAAUCCCUAUCCCUGGCCCGUCAGCAUUGCAUUAGGUUUGAUGCUUUACCAUCAGGUUUGAUGCUUAUCGACAGAAAACAGCGCUACCGGUGCGCACUAAGCUGCGACUAACGUUAGCUUAUUUUUGCACAUAAACAUGAAAGAAAGAAAAAAUAGUGGUUGCCUCAAGCAGAAAUCAGAAUCGCAACCGAUCAAGUGGCACAUGUCGUUCCUCCGAGGCACCCUGAAUCUAGCUAUAGUGGACUUGCAUUGUGGGAGUCUGGGAGAUGUCUUAAAGCAUCAAGAAACAUCAUAUUGUGCAUCUUUCUGAUAAAGGAAAGGAAACAAGACUCUGUACAUGAGUUGAACCCAUCCUGUGGGGACAAACCUUUUUUUUUUGUCUCUUAUAGGUCCCAAUGUAACCAUGUGCAGCGCGUACAUUAACGAAAAUAAUAUUUAAUUGAUAAGAACAAUUUAUUUAGAUCAAUUGAUUCAUAAUGAUAUUGUGAAUUUUCAACAAGGCUGGCUGUUCUCCAAAUUAUUAAAGCCCAUGUUCUGGGCUGAACUACCGGGCAGGCCCAUGAUUAACAGGUCGGUUGUUGUUUAGUACCACAUCGGCUGGAUUAGCAAAUCUAGCUCCCCCCAACGUGGCUUAAAACGACGCCUUGGGCGAUCUGGUAACGCAUCUUUGCGCUUGGGGCAAUGACGCAGCUAGUGAGGUCAUACCGAGGCGCGUCAAUUGCUGGUUGAAAACUAUUUCCAAACCCCCUCUGCGGCCCACCUGGGCCACAGAGAAUUUCUGGAAAGGGCACCCUCUAACCAGGGUAAAACCCUACAAUUCCUAAUGAAAAAAUUUAGGCUACCAACUCAGCCUGUAGCAUGUCUAGUUUGUCUCCUCUACCAACUCUAGCUAGUUAUCACUCGUAUUUCUUAAUCGCCUUUGUUCCUCCAACUAUAUAUGCAUGGUCGCCAAGCACUCCAUCGAGGCCAAUAAUGUAAAAUUUGCAUCCCCGCACCAAUGUGAAUGAGUGGAGUCAGUUCGCCGCCAUAGUUGAUGCUCGUAUCAGCACUCAGGCAAGCCCCAGGCUUGAUGGAACUGUUCCUCCUGAACCAAAACAUGCGCCUAAGAUUGAUGAUUUUGCUGGCUGCAAAUAGGACUGCAGCUAUCACUCUUCAGAUCGCGUACGACCUCCUUUUCGUCGACGGCAGAUGGAACUGGCUAUAACCAUCAAUUCUGAACAUGAAUUGCCUUGAGUCUAAAACUUUCUUGGUGUCUUGUGUCAUCUUAGCACAACAGCGGGGCAAAUAAAAGCCUGCUCGGCGGUGGUUGCACACAAUCACGGUGCACGGUGUCUCUUUUUUUGAAAUGAAAAGUUCUAUUAAUUUUAAAAUUGAUUGUUAUAUCGAGAUGAAACAAAAGACUUGAAAUUCUAUCCGGCUCGGUAUAAUCAGGAUAUACACAGCAGCCUUACAAUAAUAAAGAAAAGGGACUGAGAUCCGAUGCAGUGGCAACAGCUGCAACUUAAUAAGGUGUACGGUGUCUAGUAUCACCAUUCAUUAUGGAAUUGUGCGCACAUCUCUCUCUCUCUCUCUCUCUCUCUCUCUCUCUCUCUCAAUAUCUGAGCUACUCUAGUAAAUAACUUUGAUGAUAUCAGGUAAGUCAAUAAUAAAAAAUAUAUUUGCUCAUUCACAACAACUAUUUCAACUACUAUAACCACUACAGGGCAACCCCUCUAAUUUUUUUUAAAAAGAAUUAUAUCAACCACCUGCAGCUCACUUGCAUUAUUGCAUCACCUCCAAAGCCGUGCCUGCAUGUCCCUUUUUAUAUCCAUGGUUCUUCGCCCUGUUUUUCUUACCAGUAAAUGCUCGACAGAGGUUAAUCUGACAAGUGUGUCUGCUCGUUGCUACCUUGGGAAUGAGUGGCACCGGGAAAACAUAUUCAGCUUUGUCGGCAUCUUUAUCGGUCUGCCUCUAUGAUCGGUGCACAACUUGUGUGCCAAGGACAUGUGAAUUGUAUAUUAAUUUCCACUAGGCAGGAUGUCAUUGCUUUAGCUGACCUACUUACUAGAUUUGGUGAAGCGUGUCGGGGUUGAGAACAAAUUUCAAGAAAUCAAGUGUGGUGCCCAUAAGAUGCGAAGGGCUUAAUGUGGACGACAUCUUUGGAGACAUUCCAGUCACAUGAUCUUCCUUUCCGGUGCCAUACCUUGUACUUCCACUGACGACAUCAAGGUUUAAGAGAGUACACUUCCAGUACGUCAUAGACAAGGUGACCUGCAAACUCACUACGUGGAAUGCAAGGAACAUGACUAUUGCGGGCCGUCUAGCACUCACGAAAUCAAUAUUAACACAGGAGGUAUACGGGCCGUCUAGCACUCACGAAAUCAAUAUUAACACAGGCGGUAUACCUCCUGUCAGCAAUGGAGGCCCCAAAGAGGUGAUGAAGGAAAUUAACGCUAAGCACAAGAAGUUCUUUUGGGCAGGGGCGGUGACAUUAACAGGGGGAAAAUGCAAAGUGAAUUGGCGAAGGGUCGCCAAACUGACAAGACUGGGGGAGUAGGUAUUUUAAACAUCUACAAGUUUGCAAGAGGACUGAGGCUCAGAUGGCUUUGGCACGAGUGGAAAGCGGAAGACAAGCUUUGGGUGGGCUCCGAGGUUCCGUAUUAAUAACACAGAUAGGAAAUUAUUUGCGGCAUAUACACGCAUCGUCGUAGGCGAUGGAGCAAAGACUUCAUUUUGGAAUAGCGCCUGGUUUCAAGGCUAAAGUUCAAAAGACAUAGUGCCAGGUAUCUUCUCCAUUUCAAAAAGGAAGAAAGGAGUUUACGUGACGCGCUUCACAACCGAACUUGGAUCCGAGACAUAAACAUACACCACAGUAGAUUCUCUGUGCAACAUUUCCGAGAAUACAUCCUUCUAUGGCAAGUCGUACAACAGGUAGCCCUGCGUCCGGGUGUCCAAGAUGAAAUCACUUGGAAGCUUAACUACUCCGCAAAAUCCGCUUACGACGCACAGUUUAUUGGUUCGGCAUCCAACAAUUUUGACGGCUUGAUUUGAAAAAUAUGGGCUCCUAUAAGCUGCAAAACCUUCUCCUAGCUUGCAAUCGAAAAUCACCUUUGGACUGCUAACAGACUUCAGAAAAGGGGAUGGCUAAAUCAAACUACCUGCCCACUAUGUCGGAGAUCACAAGAAUCGGUGCUACACCUCUUCGCCGAAUGCCGGGUUACAACAAGAAUCUGGGCCAUGGUGGCGGACUGGUUAUCGGCGCCAGCAAUCCACCUUAUCGGCGCCAGCAAUCCACCCGAGGGUUUGGCAACAGACUGAUACGUUGCACCAUUGGUGGUCGAUGAGAGCGGGAGCAAAUUCCUGCUCUAAGAGAGGCAUGCGAACUUUGAUUAUGCUAGUUACAUGGACAAUCUGGAGGGAAAGGAAUAGGAGAAUAUUUAACAGCAAGGAGUCUACUGUCAAUAUGAUUUUCGAGAGGAUCAAAUACGAGGUCGCUGUGUGGAUUCUAGUGGGAGCGAAACAUCUCUCCGCUCUUCUGGCGCGAUGCUGAUUGCGAUUGAGUUCAUAGUGUUGUUUUAUUUUCCUGGUUCAAUUUUUGCCUCAUUUCACUUUUGAUACUUUGUAUUUAUCCAGUCUGGAUUUCUUCUUUUUAAUAUAAUCGGCAGCUCUCCUGCCAGGUUCGUUUUUCAAAAAAAAAAUUCCAUGAAACAGGACAAACUGUGAUGGCGUGAGAGGUUAGCAACUUUUUUUUAAAAAAAAGAAACAAGUAAGCUGUUUCUGGUUUGUGUUCUUGCUCAAGAAUUGCAAAACUACUUUGAGAUCUAUAAGAAGAAUCAGCUGCCUUAAUUUCCCUGAAUUUCAUCACAACUCACAAGGAAGAAGUGGCGCUGACGGCUUGGAAUGUAAUCAGCUUGGAAAGGUAGAAAUUGUUGGGAAGCAAAUUGAAGGUUUGUGACUUCGGUUCACCUCCUUUUACUCAUUAGGAGCAUAGCACCGUUUGGCUUCUUUGUACUUUCAUUGAAUGUUCUCAGAAGCUGCUUCGAGCCCAAAUUAUCUCCACAUCUUCACAUUAGAUAAUGAAAGGAAAGAAUGAUUGUCUCAGAACGAAGCCAAGGAUGGUGGUGUUGACCAAGCACACAGUAUCGAAUUGCAAUCCAUGCUAAGCACCUGCCUAUCAAAGAACAUGAGCAAUUCAGUCAUCAGUAUUUGAGAAAUGGAUAGAGCCUGAAAGCUUGACCACUGCCCACUAAUUAAUUGCCUGCUACUACAAGAUCACGAUGAUCGAAUCCACUAAUUGACAUCAGGUGUGAGUCACAGUGGAUGCUAUACACACAUGAUGCUAGUCUGAGCUCUGAAGACAGAGUCUGUCUAUGCAAUUUGGGAUUCAUUUUCAUCUUCAGUCUUCCCUUCGCUGCACAGUAACAUCUGGCCGAAUUUGUCUUGACUAUUACCAGUGACAGUAUAAAUCACCUUCAGCUCUAAUAAGCUGACCACUGUGCGUUAUUGCAUGCCUGCUGCAGCAUUUCAUCGCCGAGAGAGCAGCUUCUUCUGCAGGCGGCGAUUCUCGGAGGCAGCCCCGUCGGAGACCAAGCGGGUGCGGCGUCUCUCCACGAUCACGCCUGGGUCCCGCCACCGCUUGAGAUCGCCGUACCCACCAGCCGGUGCGUCAUAUGGGUGGGGUUAAGCACUUCCUCGCGGCGGCGGCGGCGGGCGGUGCCGGAAGGACGGGAGAAGACGGCCCGAUCUGAACCUGUACCUAUAUGAAAAUAAUAGGGGUCAUUUUGCAAAAUAAUCGGAUCGCGAUUAAUAGUCGCGAUCCAAAUUAAGAGUUUAAAUGUAAAAAUGGGGGGUAUUUUGCAAAUAAUCGGAAUCGCGAUCCAAUCCACGGGAGCAUUUGCAAAAUUCACGAUCGGCGAUCCGCUCCUCCGCGGCGCCUCGCCGCCGCCGGAGCUCCGCCACAGGCCGCGGGUCGCUUCCCUCGGGUGCGUAUUCUUCCUCCUGCACGCGUCGCAUCGCAGCAACUAGCGCGGAGCAAACGGUUUCCGGAGCUCCAAGGGGGGCGGUCUGUCUCCGGGCUGACAGGAAACGCCGCCUCUGGCUUCACGCCGCGCGCGGCUCGCCGGAGCGGCACGUACGACAGCGCCGCACUCCGGCCGUACGUUCCUCGCUUCCAAACUUCCACGUCGAAUCGCCGGCGGCAUGGUCCACCAUUUCCGGUAAACGUAGUUGCUGUCCGCAGCCUCCUGCAGAGUGCCGUGAAUUUCAGGCAGGCACUUUCAGUUUCAGGGUCAUCGCAAUGCGCAAGUUCAGAACAAGAAGGUGACAAGAAGAAGAAGAAGAGCUGCUGACUGCCCUAUAAUUCGGUGUUCUUGAGCUAAAAAGAAAAUCAUGGCAGAAUUCUCCUCGCAUGCAAUGCAACUGCAAGCAAGCAGUGUGGUCAGAAAUGUGACGCAGAGACCAGCUUCUUUGGUUGGUUCUUCACACUGUAACUAUUUUUUUUUUCAAGCACGGUACUUCAAAUUUGAAAUUCCCUGUGCUGGUAUGAAGAUGUAAUGCAGCUUAAACAUUAAGCAUCCGUGUUACGGAAGUAGGACGAAAGAGUUGCAGUACUAUACUAGGGACAGAGCGAUUCAGUCAUCAGUACUCGAGACGUGGACAGAACCUGAAGGCUUAGCCAAUGUUUGAUUCUUGAGUCAUCACUGUGCCUGUCGGUGCAAUUUGGCCGGUUAAUCUUCUGUCUUGGCUGCACAGUAAUUGCCUUGCCUGCUAGCUACUACACGAUCACGAUGAUCAGACUCACUAAUUGACAUCAGUUGAGCCACACAUCCACACAUAGUGCUUGCCAACACAAUGUGCAAGAUGUUGUGCUGUCAAGGAAGACAGCUUCAUUCCCGUGUAAACAAGACACACAGCAAUGUGCAAGAUGGUUGUGCAGUUAAAAGAGAAACAUCAGUCUUGUGUUGUGACACUUGUGCAUUGAUCUUCAAUACUUGAGCUUGCUUGCUAUACACUGAUAGUUGAGGAUUUAGCUGCGUUCCCUCUUUCCUCCUGUGCGCUCUCUCACAUUUCUCUCCACGGCCAAGAAAAGCACUUUGCUGAGAUCAAUGUGAUACGUGCACGCAUCUGCUUGUGUCUCUUAAUUUAGUUUAGAAUGAGCGGGAUCAGGAAAUCACAUUCGACGGAGUAGUCGAUGUCAGGAUGCCAUUUCUCUUGUGUGCUCUCCUUCGCCUCCUCGAUUCCUUUCUACCUAUUUUCACAGCAGCUAGCAGUGAAUUGAGGUCAAUGCGACAUGUUCACAGUUAGGGAAUGCAGUUCGACACCAUGGCUGGUGAUCGAGCAUCCUGACCAGUGCACGAGAGAUGAUGUACUUCUGAACGACUUCCCAGCGAGCGCGAUGGUGAUCACGAUGGACCCUGUUCGUGUGUGAUGAGAUGAAACCCUGGCGGAGCCAGGAGCUUUGAGACGGGAUGAAAGUUUCAAUUCAAGUGCAAAUCAACUUUGUUGUUUUUCUCCUUGCAGCAAAGCUUUUGCUGCCCUUUGGGGAAAAAAAUUGUGCUCAAAACAAAAUAAUUCAAACAACACACUAUUACAACAAAGUGAGCACUAGGAAAAAGUUAUAGCAUGCCGCACAUGAAUACCUAUGGCUAUAGCAGAUGCCCAUUAGUGAGCUGCGCUACAUAAUCUCAAGACAAAUUAAUGGCUUGUGUAUGGAAUGGCUUGGAAUGUUGCUAUGUAGAGCUGGGUAUAGUUCAGAACAUGUGCAUCAUGUUACGCUCUGACUGCUACUACAAAUGAGGUAAGGCCAAUGUAAGCAUUUUUAUCAGGUCAGGAUCACUUUGACAUCGGAAAAUAAAUUCAAUCUUAGGAAUAAUAUGAGAUGCCCCCUUCUGUUUGUUACUUUGUUGGCGAGAUAUACCGUACAGGACAAUACUAUAUAGCUCAGUUGCCAUACACACAACGCCGAAUCUUGCGUUGUGCUUUUCAGUUCCUCUGUUCUUCUACCUAUGCUCUUACCACCAAAGCACACAAUUGAGUUUUUGGUGACAUGUGCAUCCACCCUUGCUCGGAAUGAGUAGCACCAGGAAAAUAUAUUUGACACAUCUGCUACUAUGUUCAGUUCUCCACCAUGGUCCAAGUCCGAACUCACCAUCGCCAAGCGCGCCUGUGGCUGACGGAAAUGCUAAGCACCGAGACUGGAUUUCCAGAGAAACACGAAGAGGGAUGGUGUUCCUGCUGUGCGCAGUCCAGCACCAGUCGACUGACAAGCUCAUCGUUCGUUCCUGAGCAAGCGCUUGGAACCUGCAAGUGGUUGGUCCAAAGCAUGCGUUGCAGCUGGCCGUGACUCAUAUCGAUUUCGUUGAGACGUCCUGUGUCUUUUUCUUUGACGAAAAAUCGUCCGGACGUCCGAUGAGAAAAUUUGCCUCUUGUUCUUGCCCCGUUUUCACCUACUAUCUCUCCACAAGCACGUACUCAAUCAAGGUCAAUAUUGAUAUACGCGUGUGCUUUUGCAAACCACUUCCGGAUCCAAGAGGGAUCGGGAAAUAAAACUUAUUUUGUGGACUAGUCAGUAGUGGCAUGCCGCGUUGGUCUCUGGCUUUCUGCUCGAGUGUGCUAGCACUGUAAGUCUAAAACUAGUACUAACACCAACCCUGAGCUAAACUCCACAUAUUCAGCUCUUGCCAUCGCUUGUGUGCUCCUUUGCCUCCUUGAUCCCUUCUUUUACCUAUUUUCUCUACAGCUAGCAGUCAAUAAUUAAUCAAGGUCAAUCUUCUCGCAAAAAAUAAUGAUCAAAGUCAAUGGAUAUAUAUAGACUUGCAAAGAGUGCGGCAUAUGGGAUAACGCGAAUUCUGGAGCCCAGCCAGGUUCUUGCGCAUCGUUCUGUAGCUGCACGCAUGGUUGGCCAUCAGGGGUUUCCACAACACAUCAUGUGGCUGGCACACCGAAGGCACGCUCGCACGAUUGGUGGAAGGCAAAGGUGCAAUCUAAGUUGCUGAUGAAGCAAUUGGCAGCUUCCCUAACUUCACUGAAUAGUACGUCAUGCUCUUGAAACACACAUUGGUCUGUUGGCUCGAGCUAGGGAGGUUUAGAAAAGGACAAAUUGCCAGAAAAUCACUAUGGAUCAUCGGAGUUGUAGUACACACUUUUAAGGCGCAAGUCUUUAUGGCAAACCACCAGAUCAUCAGAGUACGCCAUAUACAUGUUCCUUUUUAGAUUUCUUUUAGUUUCUCCAUGAGACAAAUCUUGCUGUAUAUAUAAACAGACACAGUAGUAUCUCUCUGUAUCCACCAUGUUCCUAGCUUCCUCUACAUCUAGCACCCUCAUCCAAGAACUGGCCAGAGUAGACGCCAAAACUGAAAAACAUCCAAGCAAGGCAAAACUAUUAACUUGGUAGCUACAAGCAUACAGCUCAGAUCAUAAUAUAAUUUCCCGAGAGUCGCAGCAGUUGCUAUGCCCGCUAAGCUAGCGUUUGGACGCACAAUCAUGGUUUUUCGGAUGGAGCGGCGUCGGGAAAAGGUGCCCUGGAGCCGAGCUAGCUUUGUGGGCUGCCAUGCCGGUAGACCAGUGGACAGGGCCGAGCGCAUGGGAGUGCGGCCUGUGCAAUGGCACAGGGCCUCCAAAUUUUAGGGGCCCACCGGGACUGGCCGUCCUCCAUCGUGAUCCAGCCGCAGGCCUGUCCAUCCAUCAUUGUCCAUCCAUCAUUCAGCAGUUCAGCCAAUUCGUCAGCACUUAGUCGCAGGCUUUUGAUACUUCAGGCUUCAACGGAUCAUCACUGUACAUGGCAGCACUGUAGUGGGAUCGAGGCAUCACCGGCUCACCGCGUCAGGCUUGCGCACGCGCGCUUCAGGCUUUAGCCCUUGAUGUGGCACCGGGAUCGAGGCGACGAGCGGACAAGACGUCACCGCGUCAGGGUGACAGGCCGAUUGCACCGACUUGCUUUUCGGUUUUCGUCGGCCGAUUGCGCAGCCCCGGCGGCAUUGAGGCGCUGGCGCAGGGUGAGGGGGAACCGAUCUGGCGAUCUGGAAGACUGGAACGUGCCGGAUUUAACACUUUAUGAAUUGUGAUCGAUCGUCGAUCGAGUCUCCAGGUAUACUAAUUAGAUCCAGUUAAUUUUCAAUAUUUUAAUCAAUUUUGAUGGGUGAUGAUUAAUAUAAUCAGACCUCAUUUUAGAAUUUAGCACAGGAUCUCGAUUUUUGCCGCCUCGGCCCUCCCAGUGGAUUACCAUCAAAUUCGUCCAGACGAGGUACCACACCAGCGAGGACUGCUUUAAACGUGCAUUUUGGACGGGUGCUUCUGUUGUGGGCGUUGCUUCUUAGAGACCUCUAACGGGCAGAUCAUCAGGUCUUUGAUGAGGACAGUAAGUCCAUUCCAGUAUUCUAGUCUCAAGGUUUGGAAGUCGCGUUGUUUAUAGAUCUAAAAGCAGUAGUUUGUAAUUAUGGUUGCGUUCGGUAGUGAUGGCUGCUGUAGUAGCUGGAGAGUAGUAUGAACAGCAGCUGCAGCCAGAUGAUUUAGUCCACCAGCUGCUUGGUAAGCUAUAGCUGAAUGGCUGGAUUGUACAGUCGCAACCUAAGCAGCUGCAAUAAUCACAGCCAAACAGGUUGUAUUUGAGCAAAGGAAACAAAUUAGCACAGCAUUUAUGUUCUUUUGUAAAAAGAGUUUUUGCUCCGGUGGUCCCUUCCAUUAAAACUGCACGAUUCUUAAAGCAAGAGAGAAUUAAUUUCAUUUAAUUUCGCUCUGGGUACUGCUUGGGGCCGGCCCUACCCGUGCCCAAAUCGAGACCAGCCUGUGCCCACCUAUUGUUUGGCCUGCCUAUCCCCGAUCCGCCGUUUCAACUCUUCAUCAGCGCGCCGAGCACACGUGGACGGACGUUGGCCGCUCCAUCACAGUGACGGAGCUGACGGUGGCGACGGCUUCACAAAGCAACACAACACUGGAAACUGGGAUCUCGAGCAAGCCGCCUCCUCGGAGGCCAAAGCCCGGUGGGAUCUCGAGCUCGCCGUAGACGUAGAGGUCGAUGCGGCGGCGCGGGCGUCCCCUGUUGCUACGGCGUCCACGCCCGGCCAUUGCCGCCAUCGUGGAUAUCCUCCACCUGCUACGAAUCGUGAACUCGUCAUGUGACGAGGAACGGCGCCGCCGCUGUCCGUCCGUCCGUUCACACGAGACGCGACUGAGGCAACCAAAAGAUCCGAAACAAAUAGGUGGGCACGGGCCGGGCUCAGUCUGGCCACUUGCCGGGUCCAAAUAUUACCCAGAGAAAAAUUAAUUAAAAUUAAUUACUCCUUGCUUUAAGAAUCGUGCAGUUUUUAUGGAAGGACCAUUGGAGCAAAACUUUAUAAAAAAAUAUAUCAACCUCCCACAGUUCACCGUUUGAUAAUUGGUGGAAACUUAUGGACCGGACUAAAUAAGUACUUGUCGAUUUCUCCUCGCCAUGUAGACACCAUGACAUGACACAUGCACGAUUGCCUCUCACAAAGUCCUGAGAGUACUUUGGGAGGCAGCAUCCAUCCUCUGUGACUGUGAGGCCACGCUCUGCCGAACUGCCACUCAGCAGGCGACCGCAUUAACAAGUCAGGCGGUGGAUACUUGGAGGCUUGGACGGAGCUCGGAGUUGUUCAUGUGCCGUCAUUUUUGCAAACACUACUAUCGGUGUAGCAAUUGGAACUAAAACGAUGUAGACGAGCUAUGGUCCAUGGAAGAUCUGAACGAUGACGGAUGGCCAAAUGGAUGUGGCUUCACAUGACACGCCACCGAUAUUCCUACAUGGCUUCCGGAAGUUAGGUAGUUACUUGGCUUCCACUGCUUUAAGAUUCGUGCGGGCACUAGAGAUCGUCGAUCCAUCUUCUCCUCUUCCCCUACUCUUCUUCUCUCUCACGUCGUUGUUGCCUCCCGAUGCCGUCGCUACCUCCCGCACCGUUGACGGGUUGAGUUUGGAGGAGCGGGCAGGAGGUGUAGGAAGCGGUCGGCGGCGAGGUCAUCACGGUAGGGGGAGAGGUCGAGGCCUGCGGUAGUUAGAGUUGGGAUUCGGGUUUUGAGGUUCGGGGGCUCCAAUGGCCACCGAUCUUAGAGAAGGAGGAGGGCGGCGGCGGUGGAAGCCUGGAGGAAGUGGCGGGUUGGCCGACGACGGAGGCGAGGUGGCACGGUAGCACCGUCGCCCGGGCGGGGUCGGACAUCCUGGUGGGCAGUGGUUGAGGGCGGGGGUGAGAAGGAGCGCUGCUGGAUUAGGAAGGACGGUCCGAAGAGGGCGGCGAUGGUUUGUGGGUGGGCAGCAUGGCGGUGCGCUCGCCGCCGGUCGAGGUAACGGAGGUGGCUGUUGGGAGGGGAAGGAUAGAGGAAGGAUAGGGAGGAAGAAGAAAGACAUUGUGCAUGGGCUUUGAUGGGCCUCUAAGCCAUGGCUCCUAUCUAGCUUCCAAGCCAGAUAGGAGCCCCCACACGGCACGACCUGAGCCCAGCUAGGCACGGCGUGAUUUAGCCGGCCCAUGGGCUGUCCGGACCCACUGUUCACACUUCACAGCACAUCAUUUGUUUGAAUUAGGCUUAAGUGGUGGCAAUGAGUGUUUGUUGAGCUUAAUGGGUCGGUCUUUAAUCGGACCAUGCUUGGUCCAAGUCCAAAUCCCAUACUUCGGGCUAGCCCAUUAAGCUUGGUCCAUGCGACCAUCUUAGCGGCGGCUCAACGUGGGUGUGGGCCUCGGUCACCGCACACUGUGGAAAUGUGGCAAAAUUGCAGCAAGCAAUGCGAAUACGCCACGUGCCCAAGCCCACCACCCUAGUCACCUUGCUUGCCAACAACUGCCGCUGUAGUUGCCUAUAUAUACAGAUAUUCUCCAAAUGCCCACUCAACCCACCACUACUUUUAUGCCUUAUUUAGUUCAUCCUAAAUCCCAACUUUGGCACUAUGCAAAAAGAAGAUUCUCCAUCACAUCAAACUUGCGGUACAUGUAUGGAGUACUAAAUAUAGAUGAAAUUAAAAACUAAUUGCACACUUUUGUUGUACUUUGCGAGAAGAAUUUUUUGAGCCUAAUUAGUCAAUAUUUGGACAAUAAUUCAUAAAUACAAACGAAACGCUGUACAGCUGCAAAAUUUGGUAACUAAGGCCUUGGAAUAAGCGGCGUUGGGAAAUUAUGUUCCGCAGCCUCGAAAGGCUCAGGCCUUGGGCGCCGAAACUAGAAAGCAGUUGGUGUUCCCAAUGCCAAGAGUUUGGGUGCACGAUCAUCGUCAUGGCUUUUCGGAACGAGCGACAUCAGGAAGAUGUGUUCCAGAAACGUGCAACACCCUUGGGCUGCCGUGGUGGAUAACGAGUGGAUUACCAUGAAGUUCCUCCGCGCAAAGUACCUGCUCUUCGAGUGCGUUACAUAGCUCCGACGCCGAGUCCUGAACAGCUGUGGCCUUGUGGGUGUCACGCUGCUCGAGGCCUCUGACGGGCAGGUGCUUCGCGUUGCAAUCCAACGUUGUACAUGGUUGGCUGCUGGCACCACCAUCACCUUUCCCUGUCUAUCUUUGUGAAGAUGAUUUGGGCUGUAAGAAGCUUCUGAGAAAGUUCAAUAAUGCAAGUACAAAGGAACCGAAUGGUGCUAUGCUCUUGAUGUGUAAAAGGAGAUGAACUGAUGUCAGAACCCCCAAUUUGCUCCCCAACAAUUUCUAGGAAUAUGCUUGCCUCUCAAAGCUCUUACAAUUCUUGGGCCGCAGCGAUUCGCCCAUGAAGUUAGCUCCAUUCUCCACCAAACCACGGGUCCAUGCCACUUUGACUCUCGGGCCCUUAGGUUAGCAUGCAAAAGUAAAUGCACCACAUGCAUGCGCGAAGCAACUAGCUCAGUGAAUUUUUAAGGACGUCUUCUACCCAACUGUGCAGCCUGCAGCAAUCGUUGGUAGUAUAUAUAUAGUCAACAGUGCGUGUCCUGGACAAAUGCCCGAUCAAUCUACUGAUAAGCUACUAGACCUCUUCAGCCGUGGAGACCCACCCGAAUGAACUAGCAUGGUCUGAGAAUGAGUGGUGUUGGGAAUGUGUGUUGCGCAGUCCCGAUGGCUCGAGCCGUGGGCUAAGCUGUGUAGACGGUCGCACGGAUGGGUGCCGAUGCAUGGCGCCUGAACUGAUGCACCAGAGUGUUUGGCUGUCCAAGUCCUGCUGCCACGCUGGUCCGAUCAUGACCGAAUUCAUGGAUUACGCAUCAUCACAUUUGGCGGCGUAGUAAAAAAGGUGCCGCAUCUUCUUCUGCGGACACUAUGUAAAAACCUAACAAACAAAAGACAUCUUCAAUGGAGAUGCAGAAUUAAAUUGCGUCUCCAAUAUGUCUACCCGAACUAGGAAUAAACAAAACGCGUCUCCUAUGUGGGUAUAUUGGAGACGCGUAUUAAAAAACGCGUCUCCGAUAAUAUAUAGGAUCAUUGGAGACACGUUUGGAUGGAGACGGUCGAAUGUCCCAAAAGUUCCUAACCCUAGGUUGGUGGCAUGCAGGUGGCUCUCGAGGCGCACUUCGAGAACGAUCUGGGGCUGGACACCGUCGAGGUGGUGAUGGCCAUUGAAGAGGAGUUCAACCUCAAGAUCCCUGACCUGGAGGCCGACAAGAUUGACUCAUUUUCUUGGUUUAAUUUGUUUCCGAGGGAGAAUAAUUGGCCGGUGUUGUUCAGGAAAACUUGUGCUCCUGAUUCUUUUGCGACAGAUGAUGAUGUUGAAAGGAUUGUGAUCCUGUGUAGGUAAUGAACAAAUUGAUCCCUUCCUUCUCCCCCAAUUGUAGGCAGAUUCUGAUCAAGUGAGGUGCUAAGUAAUUUUAGGGAUUUUACAAUACCUUUCCAUGGAGUAUUCGAACAGGGUUUUCUAGUUGAAUAGAAUGUGAUGUGUGAAACUGUGAAUCAUUUUGUAGUCGACCUUGUGUAGUCUAGCAGAAAAAGGGCAGGUCUACAGUGCGGCUCCGAUUAGAAAUAGUAGAUGAUAGAAUUAAAUAAUGUGGAGAAAACCAAAGUUGUAGGAAACUAUUCUUAGAUGUUUUUGGUGUACUUGUUUGACACUUUCUGUUGUAUAAAGGUAGGUAUGAAAAUGACCAAGGCUACCAUGCUGCAGGAGUCCGGUUAAUGAAGAAGGCUAACUUUUGGGGAAGUUGGCAACUAAGUUAUAGAUAUGUGAGCUUGUGGCCUUGAUGCUAAGUAGAAGCUGCCUCCUCUUGUCUUAUGACUAAUGCUCCCUUAUUUUUGCUUUUCUGUUUAUUUUGUUCUGAUCCAGACAAUAAUGGGACAAAGCGUGUUAUGCCUGGUGGAAUCGAUGAUCUUGCAGUGCUACUGUUAUAUCCUCUAGCCAUGGUAAAUUCAGAAGCUUGUAGUGUUUAACUUUACUACUCUGUGAUACAUAUUUAACUGUAUGGUAUAUUCCUAUGACGAGACAUGGUAAUUUGAACUCAGGCUGUCAUAAAUUCCGUUAUUUACACCUCUAGUCAUUUCUGUUCACCAUUUAGUUCAUUGUUGUAAUCUGAGUGGAAACUGAGGAAUUCUAAUAUUCUCUCUCCAACUUGUUCUCUGACUGCCCCCCAAAUGAUUUGGUUUCAGACCUAGGGUUGUUGCAUUGCUGCUCAGCGUCGUGAUCGAAUCCUAAUUUCAUCCAUUGUCCCCCCAACUUGCAGGUGAUUUCUCCUCUAUAUCCAUCUACCCCUAGCCUCUCCAUUACUUUGUUUCCUGUUAGCUCUCUCCUAUCACUUCUGUGUUGCAAUCUAAUCCUGUAGGGUAGACAGGUUUAGCAAGAAUAGAAUCUAAGAAUAAUAGACUUGGUACUUGUACUAAAACUGCCAGUUUGAAAUAGUAGCCUUUGUUGAUCACUGCAGUUCACAUUAUUUGUAUGCAUAAAUGCAAUUGGUUACUGUACCUUUGUGAGAUAAAUGCCUGAUUUUUACAAGUUGCUGGAGUCCAAUUUGUGAUAUGCAGCAGAUGGACAUGCACUGUACUACAGACAUUAAGAGUUGUGGUGUGUUACUUUCGAAGCCAACAGGCAGCUGCUCGACCAUACAUGCACGCAGGUGAGACCAUGAAUUGCAUUCUGAUCGAGUCAAAAUUCGUAAGAAAAUUAAAUGCAGAGAGACCAUAUGAUUGAAUUUCAUGCAAAUUACAUUCUCUAUUUACAGAGUAGCACUGAACAAUAUCAUUUGUGAUGCUAGGCAUUGAUGCUGGUCUUAAUUUCUGCUUUCAAGGUAUUUCAACUGUUUUUAUCAGAGUAUAAUUUCCUGGAACGUGACUGCAUUCUGUUGAUAUUUCAACUGAACUCAUGUUGUUCUAUUUGCAGAGUAUAAAAUCUUUAGAAAAUGGCUGGCUCUGAGGAUAUACGCACUCUUGUCUGUGAGAAUGGAACUACAAUGAUCAAGGUCAGGAAAUCUAUGCCUUAGCCUCUUUUUCUUCUUCCCCUCUUCUUAUGAAAAUCAAACAGCAAUAUGUACUUCUCCAAACAAUGGUGGAUUCAGUUUGCUUAACACUGUAGAAAUGCAGUGUUUGACUUUUUCAUGUUUGCUUGGUGAAGUGAUGAAUAUUUUUCAUGUUUAUGGUUUCAUGUGUAUAUCUACAAUUGAAUGAAUAUCUCAUCCUCAGGCUUAGUCUUCCAUUUUUCUGCUUGAUAAAAUUAUGCUUGGUUGUUUUCUGUUUGACUUGUGAAGUGAUGAAUGUUCUUCUCAUGUUUUAAACUGUACAAGACAAGUUGAGCCAAGUUUAGAAUGAUUCUCUCUAUGUAGAUGUGCAUUAGUUAUUAGUUAGUUGACACAUGGGAGGAGUGGAUGUAAAUUAUGGAAACUAGUACUAUCUUUUAUUGUAAAUGAGCACUACUGCAGUACAAGUGUAUAUGUGAUAUACACCUCUACAAUGGAUAAAAGAUUUGUAUUUGUUAAAAUAUAUUAUGUCUCUUUUCUUUUCUUUUUUCUGUUUUUUAAUUUGUCAUUGGACGCGGGUUGGCAAAUCGCGUCUCCUAUUAUAGAGUCAUAGGAGACGCGGAUUUGCCAAAACGCGUCUCCUAUGACGGUCACAUUGGAGACGCGGAUUUUCCGAGUCUCCGAUGAUAUGUCAUCAAAGAUGAAAAUUUAGAGACGUGAAAAAAUCGCGUCUCCUUUGACUCUUAACCCACGUCUCCUUAGAAGACGCCAUACACAGUGAGAUCCUCUGAUGAGGCUGUUCGCCUGUCGUCUGCUACUGUGCUAUUGUAAUACUUUCUUUUUGCGAGACGUGCUGCUACUGCUAAGUACUCCCUUUGUAUUAAAAUAUUUGUUGCUGUUGAUUUUUCCUCGCGACGUUUGACCAUUCAUCUUAUUCAAAAAAUUAUUGCAGAUACAUGAAAAGAUAAGUCAAGCUUAUAUUAAUACCUUUGAUGGCAAAUAAGUCACAAACAAAACGAACAAUACUUACAUAAUUUUAUUCAAACAAAACGAACAAUACUUACAUAAUUUUUUGAAUAAGAUGAAUGGUCAAACGCCACGAGAAAAAGUCAACAGCGACAAAUAUUUUGAUACGGAGGUAGUAGCCAGUAACGACGCAUCACAUGGCGUCACCCUGCAGCAUGCACUGCACAGUUUCUUUUCAUUUGUUUGCCCCCUUCUUUUUGAGACUCAACCAUCAUACAUGGAUGGCUCAACCACCACACCAACAAACUCAUCAAUAUCGAUCAAUGUUUCCAGCUUCUUCGAUCAUUGCUAUAUAGUACUCCUAUAUACAUGGAGAGUACACAAGAAACCAGCCAGCUUGCCUCCAUUGUAUUAUCGAUUGGCAUGUUUUAGUUUCCUUCGCUAAUUAAGCUUCCCCCAUGGACAGCUUAUUACAAGGACAGAUGAGUCAUGGAGACCUGAAAGAGUGUGUGGGAUAUGUGGGAAAUGAGCGGCAUUGGGAAAACGAAUUCUGAAGCCCAGGCAGUUUCUUGGGCAGUUUCUUGGUGACAUUCGUUAACGAGGGAAGUUAUCACGCAACGCACCCGGCGNNNNNNNNNNNNNNNNNNNNNNNNNNNNNNNNNNNNNNNNNNNNNNNNNNNNNNNNNNNNNNNNNNNNNNNNNNNNNNNNNNNNNNNNNNNNNNNNNNNNAAAAUGUUCUGUAGCUGCAAGCAUGGAACGAAUGUCACCAAGGGUUUCGAAAACACAUUGCCUACGGCUUGCACCGGAGGCACGCUCGUACAAUACGUGGAAUGUAAAGGCGUGAAGAUCAGAUUUGCACUCUCCGAUCCUCUCUUGAUAUAGAACACGUAUGGCAUGCUCUUUCUGAACCACUCACAUUCACCUCUAGCUUGGGAGAGUCCAUCUAGCUAUAGCUCGUGAAGAACACACAGGCAAAACGCAAAAAAGAAACUAAAAAAAUGAAGAAUUAUAGACAUUUUGAAGUAUUUUUAUUGCUGGGGUGUUGUUUGCAAGAAUUUUUAUUUGUGGGGGUUGUUUGUAAGCAUUUUUAGAGUCCACAGUAGCUUCAGGUCUUGAAAAAUGACAGUUGCCAGCAUCAUAAUGAUUUUUUUCUUAUUUUCAAUACUUCCAUGUCUGUUGACGUAUAAGGCAUAUUUCAAUUUGAAACGGCAAGGUUUAGUGUAAACAAAUUCAUGUUAAAAAAUUUAAAAUGCUAUUGAUUUUGUCCCACACAAAAUCCAAGGAAUAUAGGGAGGCUCUUUCUAGGUGCAUACUUCAUUCCUAAAAGAAGGUCACUAUCUAAGUAUCUAGCAUUCAGAAUUUGUCCCACACAAAAUCAUUAUGUGUGUUUAAGACAGUUAGCAGGGCCCACCUAAUUAAAAAAGGAGAUCUCCAUGCAUAUGUAUUCUCCUCCACUCACGUGGUGCGUUGCAUGGCGCAAUACACACAUUCAUUGCGGCUAAUCAGAUACAUGCAGAUGCAGAUUACAGAGGGGCAAUCAUGUCGUUUCAUCUCUCGUUAUCUUAAUCUAUCUAUCUGAUAUUGGCCAGAGUGAUUUUCUUGUAGGAAUGGAGGAGUAUAUAUAUUACAUAUGGGGACCUGGCCAUUUCUUCAUUCCCCUAUUAGUUGAUUACUCACUCCAUUCAUCCUGCUAGUUUAUGACUGAUUUAUACGUCAUUGGAGUGUAUGGCUCAGUAGGUUUUUCUUUUACAACGAAUCGACAUCGAUCUAUUAGAUGUAUGUGAGCAAUGUGUGUUUUGGGUUUGGAAUGAGCGGUGUCAGGAAAAGAAACAUGACGAAGACGACCCACAACUUGGUACUUGGCUUGGGGGAACCGGGAACCCUGCGGAGACGUCAAGUUGGUGUUGCUAGACACUAGUGGUGCCCUCGUGCCGCCAAGGUACUUCGAGCGUCCAGAACCUACCGUGGUGGCGGCGCAUCAGACCGCCAAGGUACUUCGGAUGGUUGCCACUGCGCACGACCGCGAUGCCGGCUCCACGUUCCCGAUGCCACACGAAAUUUGUAGUAUAUUUAUAUAAGUACCUAUAUAUCAGAACUAUGGGUGAUGAGUUUGUCAAGGCACGGGGGGGCGGAGGGCUCGGCCGCGCCAGCAAGACUAGCGGCGGCGGCCACCAUGGCUUUUCGGAACGAGCGGCAUCUGGAAAACGUGCUCCGAUGCCGAGCUUGCAUUUGGGGCCGCAGCUCGAUGUUGUGCUUGGCUUUCAUCCAUCAGCAGAGUGCUUUAGGAUCAUAUCUCUCUGCUCGCGCAUGCACAACCAUGAGGACGACUGUAGCACACUUCGAUUUGUUCAUCUGUUUCAGUAUAUCCAUGCAUCAUGUUCAUCAUACUGUUUGGAAGUUGUUACAGAUCCUAAAGUAGUUUGUGUUUCAAUUUGACCAAGAACACAGACUAGCACAACUUAUGUGUUUUAGAAACUAAUGUAUAAUCUCAACCUCCCACCACCAUCACAUCACGGCACGGUUUGUCUUUUUCAUAUGGCGGGAAUAUACAAUUCGCAUGCAUGUCCUCGUAGAGAGCCAUGCGUCGAACCUGAAAAACUACACAUUCAGACUGAUUUUCAAAAUAGUUGGUACCACGAAAAUGGAUCGGACAGAAUACAUCGUUGAUUUCUUCUCGCCAUGUAGAUAUAUAUACAAACGACUAGCUUGCCUAUCAAAGCAGCGGUAGCAAUUUGCUCGCAUGCAUGCUGCCAGUUUUUUGCAAGACUAGAAGCAAAAUGGAACUGAAACGAUGAAGACAAACAGAGAGAGACUCGAGUGGCGGCCCACCAAGUAAUCUCCACCAAACCACAGGCUCAUUCAUAUUCAAAAUUGCAAAAUUUCAUAUGGCCACCAUGGCUUUUUUUUUUUUGUGAAAAUUGGAGCACUCCAAAGUAUGAAACGAGGUAUGUAGCAGAAUGAACGUAUGAGGAGAUGCAUUCUGCUACCCCGUUUCUGCAGAUCAUUAAGGACAGACCGAACGUAGUUCCAUGAACAUAGUAGUAAAGGUACUAAAGCAUUCUUUUGGGUUCUGGUACAAAUGAUGGCAAGAAGUUACUUCAGAAAUAACAAGAAUGAUUGAAAAAAGGUUUUUUUUGAAAAGAAUAUUAGUUUAAUUACACAAAAUCAGAAUGAAAGAUCACAAAAAGUUUGGAGCGGCAGUAUUGGUUAUCUAUAUUCUUGGUCCCUCUGGUUUAGUGUUAGAAAUUCAAGAACACAUGUUUCCUACUCAAAACAAAAUAGCCGGACAGCGUUGGCCAAUUGAAGUUUUUGUCCAGCCAGACCUGCUGAUGAAUGCGCUUUUGCCAUGUGCUGCACCGUGGCUCCUUAACCUGACAGAAGAUUAGUCCUCUCCGCACAACACACUUGUGCCCUAAAUUUAUGCACCACCUGCCUCGUGCGAUCGAGCUUCUCCAAUCUGUCUUAACUACAGAUCAUCUCAUGCCGCUCCAUUUAGUAACUCCCCCACCUAUUUGAAUGUCAUGCGAAGUCAUAUUGCAAAGGGAUUUGCUGCUUGCAAAGAUACAAUGAUCUGAAAUUUUGUAGACGAACAUCUUACAGAAGAGAUGCCUGAGCAAUCUUCUUAACANNNNNNNNNNNNNNNNNNNNNNNNNNNNNNNNNNNNNNNNNNNNNNNNNNNNNNNNNNNNNNNNNNNNNNNNNNNNNNNNNNNNNNNNNNNNNNNNNNNNCCCCCCCCCCCCCCCCCUGCAUCAUCAUACGUGCUAGCUUUUCUGUGCUGUCGGCCUGUCGCCGUCAGAUUAUUUCUACCUGUGGCUCCACAUGAUGAAGCCUCUUGGCACUCGUCGAUCGUCAUGAACAUAUGAGCUGUUAUUUGGAAUGCGAGACAUGGGGAAAACAUACAUGACAAAUCUAGAAGAGUGCAGGACGAUGCAGCCGAUGUCGACAAGAUAGAGAACUCAGGGACGUUAAACUCUACCCAUCAGUUGUGACCGAGCCUUUUUUGCUAGAACUUUUGAGUUCAGCCUUGUUGCUAAGUUUCUGCUUGGACUAGAUACUCGACAAGCUUACUCGAGCCUUGAAUUCCACACUGGUUUUUACAAUAUGUGUAACUCUGCCGAUCAAUGAAUCAAUCCAUUCAUUCUCAUUCUAAUUGCCUCUCGUUUUUACAAUUUCACACGUUAUCAGCAUGCACAUUCGAGUUCUCAGGAUGCAUCCACUCGGUACAAUGCCGAGCAAUUCACCUUGUUUUUUUUGCCACCAACGGACUCGCAUUCCUCGUUCGCUGCUCCGUGCAUCGAUCGGUAUGUCGUCACUGCGCUACAGUUGGCCACCACACCUGCACUGAACUUGCUGGCCGAGCCCUCUGUGCCUCCCACUGGAGAGCCCCUGUCCCUGCUUCCUAGUUCUAGCGAUGAGGACCGACUAGGAAGAAAGAUACAUUAACCGAAUGGGGCCAAAUGAAGUUAUCUUUCUGUUAAAAAAGGUUAUCUUUCCUUGCUGCAUAUUAAGAAUUUAAGAUCCAAACUGCAUAGUAAUAGUAGCCUGAUACAAAGACGUUGAAGCUGGAACUUUUUUCCAAUAAAAUUAAGAAAAAUUAGAUCCAAAAUGUUUCACCAGAAGCAGAAACCCAAACUAUCCCAGUAUCCCUAGCAGUAGCAACAACAGACAAACCUAUGAGAGGAGCGCUUCAGUCAAUUAGUAUAGAGGAAGUGCCACCUUGAUUUGUCUUAUCAUAUCUAUGCGAUUUCAGUUCACAUGGCAUGUACCAAUGAUGGCUAGGGUUAGGGUCACUCAUUUGUGUCCAUUUCUCCUUCAAUAGCUUGUGUCUUUACAGCUAUAUGCCCUCAAUUCUCGUCAACGAGUAAUGUCCGUGUUGUGUCUUGUCAAACUGUUUAAAUUUUGACUAUCGAUUACUUUUUCAUGUAUGUUGACUUUGCACAUUCAAAUGGUAUGGCCAAAAUUUGUCUUAGAAAGUAGGCUUGAGUUGAGUCUGCUACGCGUUUAUUAAUAUGCCUUGUCCUCUUUUCUUCUUAUGCAUUGAGCCCUGCUAGUGGCCCAUUUAUUUAGCUGCGUGUAGUGUGAGUGCCUAGCUUGCUUGCCCCUUCCAUCGGAUUUAUCAUAUAUCAUUUCCCCUUCCAAUAUAUCAGUCAAGAGAAGCACGUCUAGCUAAAAGGAUUAGUAAGUGGUACCUGUUAUGCGUAGCCAUAGUAAUUUAUAUAUGUGCAUAUCAAAAUCUAUUUAUUUAGAAAAACUAAAAUGAAUAGAAAUUUGAGACGGGGGAGUAUCAUAUCACAUUUGUCCUGGGAACGAGUGGCAUCUGGAAGAGAACUCUGAUGUCCGAUCCAGACCAGCGUCUGAGGCGUAUCUGGUGCUUGUCAAUCCUUUCAAUUUGGGAGGAAAAGGAUUCUCUACGGCAGUUUUUUGUUUUUGCAACCACUCUAAUAUUAGAAAUACAUGCAAGGGCGUGUUUCCUUCUUUGUGUACUAGCUGGUCGCUCAAAAUAGAACUGCCAGAGAUCAAGUGUCCAAAUUUCAUCUAUACUCUAUCCACAGAGGUACAAGCCGGCCGGACUGUACCUGGUUGAAGUUCAACGGACAAAUCUCCAUAGAUACCCAGAUGCAGCCACCGAGCCACAAGCCGUAUCCGGAAUCUCUCGCAAUUUUGCUGUUUAGUGGAGUAAAAGCGUUGCUAAGGCUAGAGACGACUGUUACCGUUCACUUCUGUAUGGACUGGCUUUUUUGGUGCCCCUCAGUUGAGUCCGUGUCUGAGUUGAUUCAAGCCUUUGCAUCUUCAGCAUGUCUUACUUCACUCGUUGUUUUAACCGUGUGCAGGGCACAUAGAACAGAAAACAAAUUUAUUUUUUUGGUUCACAAUAAUAUUAUUGAGUAGCAGUGGCCCACACAGUAGAUAUGCACGCCCUUCGUGAUCAGACUUUGCAUACACAAAUGCAAGCUGCUACAAAUAACUUCGUGAAACGAUCUACAAAUCACCUCCAAAAAUCAUGAAACUUUUUGUAGUGAUACAAAAAAUGAAUAUGAACCCAUAUUUAUUAAAAAGAACUCAUAUACAUUUACGGUUUUAAAAUUAAAAUUCACCAACUUAGGCUAUCUUUAUAAGUUCUCUGAACACUUUUAAAAAUUAUAAGAAAAUAACUAAUAUUUCUCACAUCGGAUGCUGGAACUUAUUAAAUUAUUUCCUAACAAAACUUACAUAGAGAAUUAUGAAAAACCGUAAAUUUGGGAAAAUUUUAAAAAAAACUUGUAAUUCUUUAUGUAACUUAUGAUAGAAAAUAAUUUUAUAAGUGUCUGCAUCUCAUGUAAGGAAUAUUAGUUGUUUUUUCAUAAUUUUUGGAAAGUGUUUUGGCACCCUAAAAAUUCAAAUAUGCUUCAAAAAUAGUCAGAUUCAGUGAAUUUUAAUUUGAAAAUAGCAAAGGUACAUGUAAGUGUUUAAGCAAAAUGGACUCAUCUUCAUUUUUUCCAUUAUCAAAAAAAUCACAAAUUUUGGAGGUGAUUAGAUGGUUGUUUUGUUCAACUUAUGUGACAAAAGUGAUGAAAAUAUCAAAUAAGGAAUAAAAGAUAGAACUCAGUGUCAUAUAAGGGAUGAAAAAAAAUUUAGUGUCAAGAAAGAAAUAUAGUCAUUUUCUAAUGUCAAAUAAGGAAUUUUCUUGUAACUUUGCCAUGUUCCUCCCUUUAAUCUGAGAAGAAGAGGACGACAUGUUAACUGCCAGUACAUAUAUAGUUUGGACUUGUACCCUUCAACUCCCACAUCUUGGGCUCUCGCACUCGCUUGUGCAUUGCUUUACAUCCCUGUUCCUUUACACCAAUCCCUCAUUACUAGAACACAAUGAGUUCCAAUUUGCCCAUGCAUCCUCAAUUCCUCAUAUCUAAUUGGAGUGAGCGACACCGGGAGAACAUAUUCCACAGAUUUGGCAGGAUUGAUAGUUCAUCGUGAUCGUAGGUGCUCGGCUUGGCAAUAUUUAACGAGACUAAUUUUGCACAGAAGAUGAGUUCUGUGACAUACGAGUCCAAUCUCCUUCAUUCCUUCUCUCUCUGUUUUCCUAUCAUCAAUAUCUUGUGUAAUAAGCAUAUACUCAUGUGAAGGGGAGCACGUACGUAUAUGGCUGCAAGGAUAUAUAAGUUGAAGUCCAUGCAUAGUUCCAUAUUCUUUAGCUAGUAACUCCAGCAGACAGCAGGCCUUGGUCACAUUUUGUGCUUGGAAACUUGGAAAUGAGCGGCAUCAGGGAGAGGAGAGCCACCUAAUUUCCGAUCCGCUUACCAACGGACCAACGCUUACGAGAUGCUCGUCAAGGUCAGCAGGAGUCCUCACCCUCGUCUAGUUCUCUUCACGAUGCGGAUUCGGCACGAGAGGUACCGAGCAGAUGGGCAUCUAUUCAACAAGAUGGCUUCCAACUCCGCUUCUGCAGAUUAUCUAGAUAGGAUAGGUCAUAGUUCUAAUGAACACAUACAGCAGUGGGUUUCCCUUUUUGUCUAAUGAUCAUAGUUUGAGUUGAGCUACAGCUGGAAUGGUUCGCCUUCUUCCUUCGAGUUAGAGUAGCGCUUUCUCUUCUUUUUUUAUGCAUGAAAAUGGUGGCAAUUAAUGCAAGAAGAUACUUAAGAAAUAACAUGAAUGGUUUCAAAAAGAAAACGUUGAUUAAAAACUAAUUAGGUUACACAGAAAAGCAGAAUGAAACAUCCCAAAGAUUUUGGAACGGUAGUAUUCAUACUCUUAAUUAAUUACUCUCUGCCAUGUGCUGCACCUUGACUCCAUGCAUAAAUCUGACAGAAGAUUAAUAGUCCUCUCUGCGCACCAUUACACUUGUAUCUGCCCUAUUUAUGCACCGAGCUCUUUUAUGGUACAAUAUAUACUAAUAUUUGAAAAGGACUAGUAUGAAAAGAUCCGACAAUUGAGAUUAAUUGUAUACUACUAAAACCUUCAGCUAUAGUAUAGGUAGUAUGUAUGAGUAGUAUAUGUGGUAUAGGGGUAUGAUGGGAAAGAUGUGAAGUGGCAUUAUAAUUUGUAGACGGCCUCGUGUACUGGCAGCGGCGGCGGCGAUGCUGCCACGACCAGCUGCGGGAUGGCAGCAGGCUGCCCUCACGCGAGGAUUGGCCACCGGCCGGGAGGGCGGCAAGCGGCGCGUGCUCAGAUCGGUGCGGCCAGAUUGCAGGACGGCGUUGCGCGGCCCUCACGCGUGUUGUGGCCACCAGUUGCUUCUUGGACCCAGAACAUUUCUCUCGUGUUCUAAGAGCAUGGCUAAAAUGACUAAUUUUUCAGAAAUUUACUGACUGCAAUGUUAUGUAACUAUACCUAAUAGUCUAUGUUUAUAUCUUGUAUUGGAUUUCUCGCCAAAACCUCUUAAAUGUGUUUUCUUUACUGACUGCAUCUAAGUUUGUUCUAGGCAAGUCGUUAUCACGUUAUGUAUGUACAUUCUAUUGUUACAUGAUGCAUAAUAACGGAUGUGCAAAUGUGUUUGUUGGGUGGUGUGUUGUAUACAUCAUAUUGUGCGAGAAACCUUGUCCUAGGAUUCACUUGCAAAAUGUUUAUGUAUACUAUCAGUGCAGCGUGCUUUCAAGUAAUAUGAUUUUUCUUUGUUGAAAAGUGUUAUACAAAAAAUCUAACUAUACUGUAUUAGAUUCCAAUUCUCAAAAUUAAGAAACACACCAAGAGAAGUACACAGGACAAAGAAAGAAAGCUAGAUCCGACGGAUGAGAACCCGGAUCCGGCCACGGCCAGCCAAGAUUGAUGUGCCAUCACCGUCCCUAAGGUUGGGGACCGCCGCCGCCGCCCCGUGCAUGCAGGCAAAGCAGAACGACAAGAAGCAAAGGAGAAUGCCUCGCCACCACCUUCCUCAUCGUUGCACGAGCUUCCGGCGGUCGGCUCUGGCGGCGGCAUGGCAGGGGAGAGAGUGGCGUGGGGUCUCUAGUGGCGGUGCUAGGGUUCUGCCCGUGUCGCCGAGAGGGGCAACGCGGGGAUAUAGAGGCUGAAUGUGGAUAUGUCUAAAUGUGGAUAUAGAGGUCGGAUGUUUAUCCAUUAUUAGAAAAACUAUAUUGUCUUAUAAAGAAUUGUAGAACAACCUAACUGAGCACUAAAAUUUGCCAAUACCACUUUGCAGUCCACUUCACUAGCAACAGACAUCUUGUCGUUUAAAGAUUUUGCAAAAGAACAUCACUGCAGCAAAAAAACACAGAAUUCUCAGAAGCUGCACUUUGAAUAUUAUGCAUCGAGUCCGAUCCAAACAGACUUUGCACACAACCUGAAGGAUCGGACAGGCGACAAGAGAGAGGUGAAUAUGAACCUUUAAAAAUUCUCUUCGAGAACAAGGUCUAUAUCCUGAUUGCUACCCAAACACACCUCACUUCUAAUCGUCAAGAUAACACAAGUCAACUCGUGACAAGCUCACCCUAGGAACGAUUAGAAACGCUCAAAGCAUAGCGUAAGCAAACGCAAAAUGAGACUCUGAAAAGCUUGCACAAGAGGUUAAGCAAAGCCAUCACAAGCCAAGAGACCUGCACAUCACAAGCCAAAAGACACAACACACAAGAUAUAUUUUACACACACCACAACACAACUCACACAACACCACACCUCCGGUUAGUUGUUAGCAUGAUCAUGCACAUAUGAAAUAUGGACUCAACCAAAAAAGCCUCAAAUCAUCCCGUCAAUCACUCAUCACAAAUAGACCAAGGCACAUCUUAACUUGGUUUCUCACAAACAUUUAGGAUAUCCAGGCUCACUCACAAGUGCUCCGGUCAAUAUAAAAGCCUACUGACCAUUCAGAAACCAUGGAACUGAGCAAGUCUAGCUAUAUCAUAUAAUUCAAAAGUUUAAAGCACCACAUAACUGGUGCCCUCAACAUUGCGUUUUGCAAUCAAAACCAAUACUUUCUUUUCCCAGGGCCCUCUCACUGCACAUGGGCCUGCAUGAAGCCAUCUUUUAUAUGUGCCGCGACAUCCUUGACUGCUCCAGGACAAUGUUCAUGAUAUCCUUGGCAGUGGUGCGAGGGACGUUCUCCAAUAAGGCAAGAAUGCUGUCCCUCAACGGCUAUGUACACUUUUCAAAGGUGUAGAGGCUGGAACCUUGUUUCCAUUAUCUAAAAAGAAGAAUGCUGUCCCUCAGCCCGCCCACGAUGGCCUGACACUGCCUUAGCCUCUCCUUCGGCUUUCUUGAUCUGGAUUAUCUUCUCGGCCUCAGCUUUCUCACUGGAUGGCAACCCCAUCCUAGCAGUUGUACCAUACAACUGGAAGGGUAACAUGUAAGAUUAAUCGAUAAAAAUCAUAGAUGCAUGUGCCCAAGCAAAUGUUGUGUUGCCAAUUUAAUCUGAUGCUUAUGCGAAUGGUAAAGCACUUGCGUGCGUUGAUCUCGUUCAUUGCUCUCUUGACACGGUCAUCAGGCUUAGUAUCAACGAUCUCAAAGCCAUAUGUAGACAUUGCCUACACCACAAACAAGCCAGACCAGUUAAAAGAUUCUACAUGCUCUAAAGCAAAUUCAACACAAGUAGUUAAAAACAAAUGUGUGACAGAAACCUUUUCAAGCUCCUCUUCAACAACUUUUGCAAUGUCAUUCUUCUACUCAAAUGCGUCAUCCAAGUCCAGAAUUGGAACAGUAGUUCUAAUGACUGAAAUAAGCACUGAAGUGCUAAUAAGAAUUGCUAAUAAGUUCAUUCGAAUUGUGAUUUGUGCGGUAUAGAAAGUUAGAAACACAACUCUCGCCUCUCCUUGAGUCCUUGUACUGAUAAAAGAAACUAAGUAAUGAUGUUAACAGAAAGUACAAUUUAUCUCAGUAGAUUAACAAAUAGAAAAAAAUAGUCCAAUGAUACAGAGUCUGCAAGUACUUGAGAAGACCAAAUACCAAGCUGAGGUGAUAGGACAAGUACGAGCACAACUGUACAAAGACAGAAUGCAAACAUGGACUCAAUUGAGCAUAGUUAAGUAAAAUUUCAAACAGAAGGAACACUUACCAUCACAUACAUAUGACUGAAUUUGUUCCCUGGCGUUGCUCAGCUUGUAGAAGGCAUCAGAUGCUGUAUAGCAAAGCGCACGGGAAGCAGCCGGAAAGGGCGCGACGGGGACGACGCGAUGCCCUCCGUUCUUGGGGCGCCGGCAGCACGUGGAGGACGCCCGUUGGGGUGGCGGCUGGACAGGGGCGUUCGUAGCGCCGCGCUGCCGCCCGCGACUCUGACGGCGGCACGGGAAGCUGGCGCCCUUGGACGGCGGCACGUGGAGGAGGACGCGCCCUGGGGUGGCGGCCGGGCAGGGGAUGCGCGGGGAUGCCCUGGGGUGGCGGCGGGAGGGCCGGAGGAGACCUAGGGAGUGGCAGCCGGCCACGGCCACAACGGGGAGGAGGCGGCGGAGGCGACGGCGCGAUAUCAAUUAAUAUAACUUAUGUUAAUUACACAAUUACCCAUACCAAAAAAUGGUUUAUACUCCAUACUACCACCUAUAGCUCACGCACCACCUGCCUCUGCGAACGAGCUCCUCCAACCUGUCUUAACUCUUAACUACUGUUCAUCUCAUGCCGCUAUAUAUUGCUGAGAAAUGCUACUGCUGAAAGCUUCAGUGGUGCCAUUUCUUUGGAGAGUGCAUCUAGAGAUAGAUUGAUGGUUACUCUGGUGUCUGGUCAAUCACAUCCACUCCAGGUAGUUUUUUUUUCCUCUCUCUCUGCGAAGACGAUUAUAUUCAUCCCAGAAUGUAUGAGCUACUUUGGAGUGGGAGACAUAGGGAAACCAGGCAUGACUGUUCCCAGAGGAUUGCAGGACAGGGUGGUUCAGAUGGUCAAGUGGAAAGGUCAUUGACAGUUAAACUUCACUCAUCAAUUGUGAUCCAUCCUCUUCGCCUAGAACUUUGUAAUUCUCGGCUUCAUUGCUACUGUUGAACGAAAUGCUUAUUAAGACGAUGAUAAACAUACCAUUAGUCUCUGAAAAGAAGGGUACGAGUCAAACAGUCAUCCCCGGCCGGUAGCGUUGCAAGAAAAGCUCAAGACUCGCCUGCAUUUUUCGAACUCGCUACUCGACAGGAUAGAGAGCCUUCAAUUCAUCUGGCCUGGGUGCUUCUCAUCCAUUUCCUGUCAUAAGCACAUACUCAUGCAAAGGGGAGCGCGUGCUUGGAAAUGAGCGGCAGCAGGAAGAGGCACCCUAAUGUCUGAUCAGCUUACACCAACCAACCAACGCCUACGAGAUGAUCGUCAAGGUCAGCCGGAGACCUCGCGCUAAUGCUAGUCCUCAUCAGGCAGCGGAUUCGGCCAGCGCACUUCAGAAAUCAGGGAGCAGAUGAACAUUUGUUUAACAGAAUGGCUCAGAUCCAUGAGGAGACACAUUCUGCUACUUCGCUCCUGCAGAUCAUCUAGCUAGGAGACUGAAAGGUUUUGCAGCACUUUCCUUUUUUUUUGUUAUGCAUGCAAAUGACGAAAAUAAAAUUACUCGUAGAAAUAACAAGAAUCUUCCGGAAAAGUACUUUUCAGAAGAAAAAAAAAGAAAUGGUUUACACAGACGACAUCGCAGAAGUUAGGAACGGCAGUGUGUUUAUCUACAUUGUUCUUAAUUACUCUGGUUUCGCAUUAGAAACACGACACCAUGCAUGUUUCCUACACAACACAAAACAGCCACACCGCACAAGGCGUUGUUGGCCAGCCAGACCUGCUGAUGAAGAAUGAGCUUUUACAAUGUGCAGGUUGACUCUCCUCCGUAAUUAACCUGACAGAAGAUUAGUCCUCUGCGCACCACCUGCCUCGUGUCUUUCAGUACGCAGGCUGUCCAAUUAGUUUUCCAACCCCGUCGUAGCACCCACAAAAUCUGCCGGGCCGUGGGCCCGUGCGCACGCCGCCACGCCGGAUUUCCCCCGAGGCGCAUAAGGAAGGAGACAUAAUAAUAUACGCGGAUUUUGAAAAGCCAUAUGAACUCAAGCAUGGAACAACUCUUGGAAUGAGCAGCAUCGUGAGCCGGGACAACACGAGUAACUGCCGCCUGCUGCAAAUGUAGCCAUUGGCACAUAUGAUGCUCUGCAGCGAUGGUAAUCGCCAUCAUCCUUUUAUCUUUUUUUUUUUUGCAUGACUAGUACCAAAGGUUUUCUAGCUUUUAUUGUUAUGCAUGAUGACAAAAAUUACUUAAAAAUAUCAAGGAUAGUUCCAAAAUGAAUUUUUUAAAAAUAAUUAGUUUAGACAGAGGCGGAAUGAAACAUCGCAAAGAAAAAUAGUACAGCAGCAUUUUUUUAUCUAUAUUAAUUCUUAGUUACUCUGGUUUAGCUUUAGAAAUACAACCACAUGUUUGCUACCCAAAAUCUGCUGAUAGAGGAGCUUUUGCCAUGUGCUACACCAGCACCACUACACUUGUGCCCUGUUUAUGCACCCCUCGUGCGAGCUCCUCCAACGUGUCUUAACUACUCUUCAUCUCGUGCCGCUAUGUAUUAUGAGGCAUGCCAUUGCCGAAAGCUUCCAUGGUGUCAUUUCGGUGGGAGAGUGCAUUGAGAUGUAGACUGACAGUUACUCUGGUUAAUCACAUCCACUCCAUGCCGUACUCCUAUAUUUUUCCCUCUGCCAUCAUCAGCCGGCUUCUUCUUCGUUGCUGUCGCCGCCGGGUAAUUGUACCCCGUUUCUCCACAUGAUGAAGACAUACGUAUGAGCUGCUUUGGAGUGCGAGACAUACGGAAACCAGACAUGACAAUUCCAGAAGGCACGACAAGUUGGAAGGUUAUUGACAGUUAAACUUUGCUCAUCGAUUGUGAUAGAGCCUUUUCUGCUAGAACUUUGUAUAACUUGCUACUACUGGAUAUGUGGACAACACGGCAAGCUCGAUCCUUCAUCAAUUCCAAUUUGCCGUGCGUAUGUGCAAGCCCAAACUCUCCGCGGCAAGAACACGGCCCAUCCCCGAAAUCAGCCCCCUGAAGUCUGAACUUUGUAAUUCAGCUUUUUGCCUGUUAUUCACUUCACUGGCAAAUUUAAGAUGAUGAAACACCGUUCUCGGUCAGUUUAAGAAAUAGCAGAGUCGGGAGAUGUGUAGUACUUGGAAGAAACAUACACUGACGGAGUGGGGGCAAAUGAAGUUAUCUUUCUGUUCAAAAAAUAAAAGCUCUCUUCCCUUGAUAAUUGCUUGCGAAGGUCCAAAAAAAAAGUUUUAUCCUCACGUAGAUUGACCUUCUUUAGGGUGUGUUUGGUUGCGUAGAUUAUUUGGUUCAUGUAUAAAAUAAAAAUGGUUCAAACUAGAUGGUAAUAGAAUCGGUCAAUAAUAACAAAACUUGUUUUUAUUCUAGGUUGUGUCUACUUUACAACGUGUUGACGGUUUAUGUGGCUUUUGCUACCUCUUUGUAAUAAUAAUAAUCGUACGCUGUACGCUGAUCCAUAUUCUGAACAAGAUCGUUGAAGCUGGAACCUUUUUGCUAUUUAUCCAAGAAAAUUAAUCCAAAAAGUUUCACGACAAACCCAAAAAGUAGCAACAUAUGGCAAGCACACGGCCCAACCCACCCGGAAAUCAAUCCCUGCCGCAGCAGCCUCACCGCAGCCACAAGCCCGGAAGCCGGCGACCCCACAAAAUCUGUGCGCCCGCGCCGACGCGGCCACGGCGGAUGCCUCGGCGCCAAUCCCCGGCGCCCACCUCACUCCCCCUUAUCCCCGUCUCACCCACUCGCGCCGCGCCCCUUAUCCCAAGCUCGUUUCUUUCUGAUCCCAAAUCCCAGCUCGCGCCGCCCGAUCCCAGAGGUCGUCGUCUCUUUCUCCUCAGCUCCACCCACGCCAAGCGCGCGCGCCGGACGCAUCCGCACCAGCAGCAGAGCAGAGAUGGCCGCCCUCGCCGCCUCCUCCACGGCCGCCUUCGCCGCCAAGCCGCGCCUGCCCCGCGCGCGCCUCUCCGUGGCCUGCUCCGCCACCGGCGGCGACGGCAGCAACGGCAGCAGCGUCUCGCUCGCCUCCUCCGUCAAGACCUUCUCCGCCGCGCUGGCGCUGUCCUCCGUCCUCCUCUCCUCCGCCGCUACCUCCCCUCCGCCGGCCGCCGCCGACAUCGCCGGCCUCACCCCGUGCAAGGAGUCCAAGGCGUUCGCCAAGCGCGAGAAGAACUCGAUCAAGAAGCUCACCACCUCGCUCAAUAAGUACGCCCCCGACAGCGCCCCCGCCCUCGCCAUCAACGCCACCAUCGAGAAGACCAAGCGCCGCUUCGAGAACUACGGCAAGUUCGGCCUGCUCUGCGGCGCCGACGGCCUGCCGCACCUCAUCGUCAGUGGCGACCAGCGGCACUGGGGCGAGUUCAUCACCCCGGGCCUGCUCUUCCUCUACAUCGCCGGGUGGAUCGGGUGGGUCGGCAGGAGCUACCUCAUCGCCAUCAGCGGCGAGAAGAAGCCCGCCAUGAGGGAGAUCAUCAUCGACGUCGAGCUCGCGUCGCGGCUCCUCCCCAGGGGGUUCAUCUGGCCCGUUGCAGCCUACCGCGAGCUCAUCAACGGAGACCUCGUCGUCGACGACAAGGACAUCGGCUACUACUAAGCGCGCCUGCAUGG